GCUAGAUACAUCUUUUGAGACUAUUGCAUCCUGUAAUCUGUCAAGUAUUGAACACAAGACUUCAGCGUGCAGAUUGAACAUAGGAAAUAGCUGCAGAGGAAGAUUCCAGAUCACGAUAAGAACAUCAUUUUAAA